ensembl:lncRNA
UGCCCUGCCCGCUCCCAGCCUGGAGAGCCUCUGAGCCCGGCCUCAUGACAGACAACAUGAGAGGAAGACAGUCUUCAUUUGCCAGAGAUGCCGCUAGGCCAGCUUCUGUGCUCUGAGAGGCCCCCGCGCCAGGGAGUCGGCUUCUCCUGAGACCCCCGUUGGCGGGGAGAGGGCAGACCUGGGGCUGGCCCCCACCCAGCAAGCCUUGGAGCCAGCUGUGCAGAGGCAAAGCCGAAAGACAAUCUAUUCCUGACUCCAACUCCCAGCUGCACAGAAAGGAAAAGAAAACACCUGACUGCAGCUGAGAACGGGUCUCUCCAGGUCUUAACAACCCAUCUCGCUGUUUAGCGAAGUUCCACGCUGGAGGGAGUAGCGGGUGGGCAUGCCCCGCCCCCCUGGGGUGCUGGAGACCCGGGACUUUGCAGAAACAGCCCCCGAGGGGCAAGGGCGCCUGGUCGGCGGAUCUGUUCACUGUCGUCUCAGUGCCAGCUCGGCUCUGCGUCUUGGGACCCAGAGUGAAGACACCGUGGUUCCCGCCCUCUUACAGUCCGAGCGUCAUUUUCUGGGCGGGGUCACCCAGGCCCCACGAGGGGAAGGGGCUGGCCCCAGCUCCGUCAGUGAUCCGGAGGCAGCCAGGGCUAGUGGGAGGAGAGCUAUACGGCCUUGACUUCUCGGGCCCGCGGUUCAGGACCCUGACGAUGGCUGUAGCAGGCAUGCUAGGUACUCCUCACCCUCGGAGCUCCAUCCAAGUUCCUCCUAUGUGUUGGUCUGCUUCAUCCCCACCACACCCACAUGAGGUCCCAGACGCCGAGGCAGCAAAGGAGAUCCAGCUACUGGCCCGCCAGUGGCCCCCCCACUUCGUCCUUCAUCCCCGUGGCCUGUGUCAAUCCCACCCAAAGGGGUCCCGCCAGGCUGAGCACUCCAGGCAGGGGCAUCUCCCCUGGAGGAGAAGGGCUGACAGUCGGUCCAGAAGGGACAUCACAUCCAUUUGACCUUCUCCUGCUCCCAAGGCACUGGAGAGGACCCCGCCAUCCGGUAAAACCUCUGACGGUCACGGAUAAAACAGAGGUCUGCCUGUUAGCUGUGUGACCUUGGGGAAGUGGCCUGACCUCUCUCAGCUUGUAUCUUUAUCUAUAAAGUGGGGAAAACAUGCCUUCCUCCCAGGUCAGUCACCAACUUAAGGGUGGUGCUCACGAGUGAAGCAAGUGCAGUGGGCGCUCAGUAAACGGGAGUUCUCAUCAUUUCAUGGUUGUUUAAAAAUGGACCUGCAGCCUGUGCAGAAUUAAAAGCCAUCUCAUCUUUCUGUACUGUUUCCACAAUAUUACGCUGAUGACAUCAGGGGAUUACGGGUCUGAAUCUGGCAUUUCGGUCUAAGUCCUGGCUUCCGGCCCUGGUGUGACCUUGGGUGAGUGAUUUUUUACCCCUCAGAGCCUGGGUUUCCUCCUCUAUAAAAGAGGACGAUCAUAAUCCCACCUCCUCGUGGGGUUUUUUAUGCAAGUUUCAUGAAAUGAUGCCUGUGAGCGCUCAGCUUGGUGUCUGUCAGUUGGCCAGGCACUCCAUCACUGUCUGGGAUUCUUGUUUCUGUUAUUACUAGACUGGGACCCCACAGGAUACAAAGUGAGUGGUUUCCUGGACCCUGGCACCCUCAGAGCAACCCUGUGAGGCUAGGAUUUUCACCUUCAUGCCGAAGAGGAAACCAAGGCUCAGCAGGUCUCUGGUCUGGAGGUCCGUAGGGAGCAGGGGCCAUGAGGGGUGGUGCAGGGCCUGUCUGCUCUCCUGGGGUACAGCUGCGGGAAGGCAGAGGACGUCUCUCUCCUGCUGCCCGGGCGGGCCCAGCAUCCCACCCUCUGGCUCCUGCACACACCAUCUCCUCCAGACCCAGAGGGCAGAUCCUCUCCUGAGACUUCCCGGGGCGGGCAGAGAAGGGUCCAGGAGCCCCACAGUCACGUGGCCUCGAGUGACCUCCUCUUCUCGGGGCCUUGGUUUCUCCAUCUGAGUGUGACUCACACCGGAAGAGUGAACCCUGACCCCACCACUGACCCGGACGGGGCUUGAACACAUCACUUCCCUCUUCUUAGCUUCCGUGUCUUUGCCUACAAACAGGAGCCAACGGAUGGGUGUGAUAAGGGGGUGUUAAGUGAAAAAACGAGAGUAAAGCUGUAAUU